CGAGCCCCGGAAGGGACAUGUCCGUAUGGCGAAGCGACAAUGAAGGACACUCACCCGGACGAGAAUUUUAUUGAGUUUUAUUUUGAAAUCGGCCUGAAAUACACAGACAUUCAAGCAGUGCGAUGCGCUAAGAGUCUGCUAUGCAGACCAGCGAUCCUGAUAAUGUUGUCGGCCUUGGAUGAUGAGGUCCAGUUACCAGGAGCACUAGUCUGCAGCUUACUGGUUCCGUCCUGCAGCUCCUCCACGCCGUCCUCCUCUCUACAGACCAAAUCAAGAAAAGGGAACCAGGAAGCUGCUUUGGAUCCUCUGCAGUAUCUGGAGAGGUCAGAGGAACGGUUCUUGGAACAGAUCGGAAGACACCAAGACGUGACCUCUGCCAUGCUCCAGAACAUCCAGAAGAUGAAUGAAAACCUUGGUUGCACUGAUGGGACGCAUGGUGUCGGUGCUGGAGCAACUGUCCCAGAAUUAAACUGCAUUGUUGACUAUUGGCUUUUCUAGAAAAUAAAUCUUUUUUAGUACUUCACCUGUUUUGUAUUUUACCCAUGCACUUUGGAUGAAUAAACAGAAAUUUGUGAUGAGAGAUGCAAA